rnacentral:sRNA from 1 species
GGUUUUAACCCAGUAACCAAGGUUAGCUGUCGUUUCGAACUCUCGAAAGAGUGUGUAGAAUAAAUGAAAUUUUUAGAAAAGCUUCUUCAGGUUAUCCGAAGAGGCAAA